rnacentral:lncRNA from 1 species
AUGAGAAGGGGGCAGACAAUGGGGGCUGACGGGGUGUCCAGCACACACUGUUCCCUGCACUGCACCAAAGGCCUUGCAAGCUGUGACCUCUGUUACCCCUCAUCCGUCACCUGUGAUGCUCGGAAGUCCAUAAUGGUGAGCACCCAGGCUACAUUGCAGUCCUGGUUCCAGAGAGAAAGGAGCCACCCAGGACGCCUCUCUGGGCCUUUCUCACACCUCUACACUCCUUCUGCAGUGGACGUGGAUCCAGUCACAAGGGCAACAAACUGGGUUUUAUUAUUAUUGCCAGCUCCUUACUUGGACUUCGUGAAGCACUCACUCUAGAAUGGCUGAUGAAUUGGAUUAAAAACCUGGAAAUUGUUAGAGGGAAAUCAUUGUCAGAGAGCCUGGUCACAU